UUUAAAAAAACUAAUGCGUUUGGUGUGGGGGAGGAGAACAAAAGUGUUUUUUUCUCUCUUUGAAAAGCACUUCAAAAAAAUAUAUCUGACAAAUCAUAAAUUACUGUUUGAUAGGCGAGAGACAUUAAUACCCACUGGACUUCUCCCCUGGCCAAACUACAGCCAUGGGAAGAAUGCCGGUCCUUGGGAAGGAGAGUACAACGUGAUGAGAUCAGAAUUUGGAAGAAGGAGGGCAGCAGGACUGGUGCUGCACCAGAAACAGCCCAUCCGCUUGGAUAGCAGUGGCAAGAAAUGGAAUAUUAAAGGAAAGGCUUAAAGACAGUUGAGUUAAGGAUGGAAAAGUAUGGCAGUCUGAGUGCACAGUAUCAGAAAUGGCAUCCAGAGAAUAUAUUCAUUUUUUAUUGAUAUCCUUAAAGAUCUCUGGGAAAGACUUGGACUGCGUGUUUUGGAAUGCAGCCAUUCUGGAUUGCAAGGUCACGAUGAAAGAAUCACCACAGCCUCAACACUUUUGAUGGGCAGUUUAUAUCUUCCAUUGAUGCUGUCUCAGUCACCUCUA